UUUUUAUAGAUGGAGAAUAGUAUUGUGUGAGGAGAUUACGGCGAGAUCCUUGAAUAGAUAAGUAAAGAAGGAGAUCUCGCGGAUAUCGGAGACAAAAUAGGAAGAUGUCAUUUGAAGAACAAACCGUAGUUAUAGGCGACUGAUGGAGAAGAGGUAUAAUGGAGCCAAAUUCUUCAUGGAGGUGGGGAACAAAUGGCGAGGUGAUCAACCUCGUUCACUGGUGAGAUGGAGAACAAAUGGCGAGUUCACGAAAGCGGGUGAUAUGAGCACCAGUAGAAGUAAGAUCUUGUGGUCAUCUUUAUCUUUAUGGUGAAGGGGAAGGCGGAGACCUGGGGAGAACCAAUGAUAUAA
rnacentral:lncRNA from 1 species